GAAUGGGCUUCGGAGUGAAUGUGG
rnacentral:piRNA from 1 species